UGCUGUCCGUCUACGCGUACCAUGUGGAGAGCGCCCGGGCCACUCAGCCCGGCUACGUGGCCAUGUGCGACCUGAGCGAGCGGAUGAGCUGCACCAAGGUGUUCGGCUCGAGCUAAGAGAAAGCAAGAAAUGAAGUCCUGGUUCAAACAUUGGCAUUACAAAGAUUUUCUUGGCUGGAUCAUAUGGCGCACAGUCUACAUGCUAAUAUGACAUGGGAGAGACUUCCAUCAUAAAGAACCCUAUUUCGAAAAAUAUGUUGGCUUAUGGGAUUUCAAACCUAUUCCCACCUCUCAACGUCACUAUUGCUUCCCUCUAUGCGGAUGCCUCUUCAAACAAAUAGUUACAAAGAGGUCUGUUUUUUUUUUCAAUUUCAGUUUUUAAGUUAUGAGCUCUGAUGUCAGAAAAUAAGAUGAGACUGGAUGGAGGAGUUGGAGUCCUAUGGGUAGCAAAGCUUUUAAAUAAAAAUGGAAAUUUAAUCGGUCCUUGGGUUAAUAAUAUUAAUUGGUGAUUCAUCACCAUCAGUUAAAUUAUUAUUCUCAUUUGGCUCCCCCAUUGAUGAGAAUUUGACUAUGAAGCAUAUUUACAAAAAUGAGUGUUCAAGAUAUUGUUAAUUCCAAUGUAUUCUUGAAUAAAACUCUUAAGUUCAUUUCUUGCUUCCUCAUUGCUACAAUUACACAAAAAUCUCAUGACUUUGCCAUCUUGUCCAUUUUGUCAUGUUAAAAUGUGUCACAAAACCACACUCCUCCAGUCAGUAGACUGUGGUCACAUGAUCUUCAGUUUUUUUUUGCAUGUUCUGAAUCCUGUUAGAAAUUCAAAGUUUGUUGCAGUUAUCAUAUUGAAGUCGUGCCACUAAUAGCGUUGCUCUAACCAGUGUUAAUUUCAUACCUAUGCUAUACUGGGAAUGUUACUUUGAUAAUAGAAUUAAUAGGUUUUACCACUAUCAUCUUG